rnacentral:rRNA from 1 species
GACGAACGCUGGCGGCGUGCUUAACACAUGCAAGUCGAACGGAAAGGCCCUGCUUUUGUGGGGUGAUCGAGUGGCGAACGGGUGAGUAACACGUGAGUAACCUGCCCUUGACUUUGGGAUAACUUCAGGAAACUGGGGCUAAUACCGGAUAGGAGCUCCUGCUGCAUGGUGGGGGUUGGAAAGUUUCGGCGGUUGGGGAUGGACUCGCGGCUUAUCAGCUUGUUGGUGGGGUAGUGGCUUACCAAGGCUUUGACGGGUAGCCGGCCUGAGAGGGUGACCGGCCACAUUGGGACUGAGAUACGGCCCAGACUCCUACGGGAGGCAGCAGUGGGGAAUAUUGCACAAUGGGCGGAAGCCUGAUGCAGCAACGCCGCGUGCGGGAUGACGGCCUUCGGGUUGUAAACCGCUUUCGCCUGUGACGAAGCGUGAGUGACGGUAAUGGGUAAAGAAGCGCCGGCUAACUACGUG